rnacentral:rRNA from 1 species
AGGGUUUGAUUAUGGCUCAGGAUGAACGCUGGCGGCGUGCUUAACACAUGCAAGUCGAGCGAAGCAGUUUCAAUGAAGUUUUCGGAUGAAAUUGGAAUUGACUUAGCGGCGGACGGGUGAGUAACGCGUGGGUAACCUGCCUUACACUGGGGGAUAACAGUUAGAAAUGACUGCUAAUACCGCAUAAGCGCACAGGGCCGCGUGGUCUGGUGUGAAAAACUCCGGUGGUGUAAGAUGGACCCGCGUCUGAUUAGCCAGUUGGCGGGGUAACGGCCCACCAAAGCGACGAUCAGUAGCCGACCUGAGAGGGUGACCGGCCACAUUGGGACUGAGACACGGCCCAA